rnacentral:tRNA from 1 species
AUUUAUAUAGUUUAYAUAAAACAUUACAUUUUCAUUGUAAAAUUAAAACUUUAAGUUUUUAUAAAUA